rnacentral:rRNA from 1 species
UACAGAGGGUGCAAGCGUUGUUCGGAAUUAUUGGGCGUAAAGCGCGUGUAGGCGGCUUUGCAAGUCGGGUGUGAAAGCCCUCAGCUCAACUGAGGAAGUGCGCCCGAAACUGCAGAGCUUGAGUACCGGAGAGGAUGGCGGAAUUCCCCAAGUAGAGGUGAAAUUCGUAGAUAUGGGGAGGAACACCGGUGGCGAAGGCGGCGAUCUGGGAAGAUACUGACGCUGAGGUGCGAAAGCGUGGGGAGCGAACAGGG